UCAGAACGUGUGCUCUUGCGAUCAGAGAAUCUCCUUUAAAACAGGAGGCAAUAAAUGGGAUAGCCCCUGUCAUAAAUGGUCUUUGGUUAGGAGGAAUCAUUAGGAAGUGCUCAAACUCUUCCUGCAAACACUCCUAUAUGCCAAGUUCAAAAGGGCAAUACAAUUGACUACAAGAGUUGCUAAGAACAGACGAAGAACAGUCCUUGGCAGAUAGCAUGAUCAGAGCACUCAAACUGAAAGAUGUGUCAAAUGCAAAUUUACUGCCGCCUGAUCUUUCUUCCCCACAGGUCAACAACUGCUCCAAGCCAUCAAAAAGGACAAACUGGGCCAGCCAUGGUGGGAGGGGCCAUUCCAAGUCUUGCUGACUACCCCCACCGCAGUAAAGAUUGCUGAACAGCCCAGCUGGAUUCACCUCAACCACUGGACGUUACAGAGUGCUGUACCCCAUUUUCGGAGUGGGGGGAAAUCUGACUACAAAGGGGCCUCGUCGUUUAGGGCGGGGCGUCUCAAUGUUGGUGAAGAAUGAAAUCCAUAAGAUCCCCACUCUGACUAGGCAAUGGGAAAUAUCGGUGUCUCUGCCAUCCUAGUAGCAGCGGGCCUCCACAUGCCAG